UUAAGAAGCAAAUAAAAUUAAUUGGAAUACUCUGGAACUGGUGGCUGGUGCUGUUUGUUUUUGUUCACCUUGUGGAUCCUUGACCACACUAUCUUACAUGGAUCAGCAGAUUAACUCCAAACACGUCAGGUUUGAUUAUUUUUUUAAGAUGAUUAAGGUGUGCAUGUGUGGCAACACUAGAUGGAACUCAGGAAUAUUAUGCAACUUCAGUUUUGGACCCAAAGAAAUAAGUAGUUCAACAACACCACCCUGGGAAUAUUACCUUCUUUUAAAGGCACACAAGUUCAGAUAUGCAGGUAGUUGGACUUGGAUUCUCAAAGCAAUUUAUUAAAUUCUAUUUUAAAAUAUUCUUAAAAACAUCAUUCUCUAUAAAAGAAAGAAGAAAACCCACAGUAGCUGAGGUUACAAGUACAAGGGACCAAUGGCAAGGAACUGCAUCCACCACACACAGCAAAACAAAAAACCCUUUAAAACACCAUGACGUCACACAGAAGAGGAAGACACCCUCACCACACCAGCACCACCACCGUGCCUCAACAACUGCAAACAGAAAAUACAAUUAAUGCAUGUUACAACCCUGCCUAAGAUAACAGAAAAACAAUGACAGCCCAAAUAAGAAUCAAAAGAGCUGUAAAUGAAACAAGAUACUAAAAAAAGAAAUAGAAAAUACAAGUUAAAAUAUCCAGACUAGGGGCCUCAUUCAUAAAGCGUGCCUGCGCACAAAAAAAUGUGCGGCACCAUAAUUUACGCACAAGUCGGCAUGUAUAAAAAUGAACUUUGCUCAAAGUUUGCGUAAAUAUACGCACACUUUUUCCAUGGCGUGAAAAUGUGUGCCAUGCAAACUUUUUCUGUGGACAAUAUCAAACUACAAAGCGUCAAAACUCACCUAAAUAGACUGAACUCUGACUGCAUUCAAUGUUAUUUAGACCAGGAAAUUUCAAACUCGAUGUUUUCAUGAUUUUAAUAUUUUAUUGCUUAAACGUAAAAAGAUGAAAGUGAACCACAUUUUUCCUCAGACAAAAACCUAACACGCACACAAAAGAAAAUAAAAAUAAAAAGAUGUGAAAACCUCACUCUGUUGGGAAUCGGGGUUUUGGGGGGUUUCCUUUUUGCUGCUGUUUCAUUCCUUAUCCACCAGAUGGCGUCUACAGGCGGAGGUUUCUCUGGAGGGACGGGCCUUGGUUCAGCGCACCGGUGUUUAAUCACCUCUUCAGUCAUGGAGCUUAAGAGGAGCGGACUACCAGUACUUCGUCGCUUGAGUGUUAGCCUAUAUGCUAUUCCUUCGUGACGCCAAGCGGCCUCCUUGAAGAGUCCUUCCUGGUUUGACUCACCUCGAGACACCACCUACCCACGGGUUGCCCGAGCCCCGUUUCCAUUCCGGAUUAUUCGGCGGAUUGUGGAUCCGCUCCUCGUCUGUCCUCCACCACAGAAAACACUGGCCCGCUCUCUGCCGCAGCCUCCUCCGAUCCUCCUGGACGCCACUCGAACUUACUGUAAGCCAAGACCCGGUAUCCAGCGGAGUGCCUCCAGGACUGUCAUCAUCAUUUUCCCAAUGUGCCGACCUCCCCCAGAAGCCCUCUCCUGACAGUUCGUCGUUCUAUCCACCGAAUCUGUGUUUACAUUAAUAAACUAUAUUUUGCUGA